rfam:Acidobacteria bacterium 13_1_40CM_65_14 13_1_40cm_scaffold_148, whole genome shotgun sequence.
ACUUCAUCCAGAGUGGCUGAGGGACAGGCCCUGUGACGCCACGGCAACCACGCGACCGCCAGGUCGCGGUUUAGGUGCCAAUUCCAACCUUCAGCGCCGGCUCAAUGCCGG